rnacentral:sRNA from 1 species
CUCGAAAACGAUUUGUCGUGGAUUUGCGUCCGGCACGGGCGCCUCAUCCACCCCCGUGCCGAACACGACCCGCCCGGCGUCCCACCGGGCGGGUC